UGUAGAAACCCAGUUGGUUAGAGCUUGGUGCUGAUAACGCCAAGGUUGCAAGUUCAAUCCCUGUCUGCACAG